rnacentral:lncRNA from 1 species
CCUCUCUUUUUCACCUAUCAACAUUACAUUAAAAUUCAUUCUUAUAAUCCUACAAAGCAUGAUUAAUCUCAUGCUCAACUAAUGCCCAUUUAGCUUUAGACAGGUCAUUGUUACGAUCGAAGAUCACGAGAAAUGAAUCUACACUAAAACCUUACAACACGGUAUUCAUUAUUUCUCCAGAAUAUGGGAUAGCCACAUUCGUC